rnacentral:rRNA from 1 species
UGGGGAAUAUUGGACAAUGGGCGAAAGCCUGAUCCAGCCAUGCCGCGUGUGUGAAGAAGGUCUUCGGAUUGUAAAGCACUUUAAGUUGGGAGGAAGGGCAGUAAGCGAAUACCUUGCUGUUUUGACGUUACCGACAGAAUAAGCACCGGCUAACUCUGUGCCAGCAGCCGCGGUAAUACAGAGGGUGCAAGCGUUAAUCGGAAUUACUGGGCGUAAAGCGUGCGUAGGCGGCUAAUUGAGUCGGAUGUGAAAUCCCCGAGCUUAACUUGGGAAUUGCAUUCGAUACUGGUUAGCUAGAGUGUGGGAGAGGAUGGUAGAAUUCCAGGUGUAGCGGAGAAAUGCGUAGAGAUCUGGAGGAAUACCGAUGGCGAAGGCAGCCAUCUGGCCUAACACUGACGCUGAGGUACGAAAGCAUGGGGAGCAAACAGG